GGGUAGGAUGCGUGCAAUGUUUUUGAGAAAGACACAGCAAGAUUUGGCGAUUGAUUGGACAUGAGGGGUGAAGGAGAGGUCGGAGUCAAAGAGAAAACCUAAGCAGCGAGCCGUAGAGGUAGAGCGGAUGGUAGCUCCAGGAAAAGCUGUUAAUGAUCAACAGUGUCAAAAGCAGCAGAAAGGUUGAGGAGAAUUAGGAUAGAGUAGUGGCCAUGGGAUUUAGCAGUGAUAAUAUUGUAUACUUUGGUCACAGCUGUUUCAGCAGAGUGAUAAACGCGGAAUCCAGACUGAAGCAGGUCAAGCAGAGAGUUGGAUUCGAG